UACGUAGGGCGCAAGCGUUGUCCGGAAUUAUUGGGCGUAAAGAGCUCGUAGGCGGUCUGUCGCGUCCGUUGUGAAAACUCGAGGCUCAACCUCGGGCUUGCAGUGGAUACGGGCAGACUAGAGUGCGGUAGGGGAGACUGGAAUUCCUGGUGUAGCGGUGGAAUGCGCAGAUAUCAGGAGGAACACCGGUGGCGAAGGCGGGUCUCUGGGCCAUAACUGACGCUGAGGAGCGAAAGCGUGGGGAGCGAACAGG
rnacentral:rRNA from 1 species